ACAUUCCACAGUGCGAACAGCAGGCAGAGCUUCUCAGAGAGGAGACUAGCAGCUACCUUUUAAGUCUUCUAGGUCAUUUUCAAUGAUUUGUAACUGGUUCAAGUCCCUCUACCUGUGAGAAGGGGAACAGAGAGCCUGGAACCCAGAGGAUCUGAUCCCAAAGCUAUCCUUUCUCUCACUCUCUUGGAUGGUCUCUGUUAUCAGGUUGCUCACAGGCACCAAUAAGGGUGGAGGGGACAAUCUACAGUGCCACAGAGUCUAUUGAUACUGUGCUGUCGCAAUAUAUUCUACAUAUUAAGUUUCUGGAAUACUUCAAGAUCCGAACCAACCAGAACACAAAGUCGUUGUCUUGCUCCAUUUGUGCCACUACAACAGAACACCAUACACUGGACCGUUUCUAAAGAAGAGAGAUUGAUGUUUCAGUUCUCGAGACAGUGGGGGCAAUGGCAUCUUGCAUCUGUUGGGGGAACUUGCUGCUUCCUUCCAGGAAAGAAGACAGAAAGGCAUUCAAAGGAAGCAGACAUUGCAGCCUGCCAUGACAGAAGAGCUGAGUGAGGGGAGCGAACCCAUUCCCACAAGCCCUUUCGAUAGCAGCGUCAAUUCAUUAUAACAGAAAGAAGCAUCUCCCACUUAGCACUGUCCCCUGACUGUCACACUAAGAUCUCCCAUUCAGCACUGUCCCCCUGAGUGUCACACUAAGAUCUCCCACUUAGCACUGUCCCCCUGACUGUCACACUAAGAUCUCCCAUUCAGCAUUGUCCCCCUGACUGUCACACUAAGAUCUCCCACUUAGCACUGUCCCCCUGACUGUCACACUACGAUCUCCUUCCAACAAAUAAAUUGGUCGAGGAGACACUUUUUGAUAUGAAAAAAACAUACUUUGUGACUUCAUCUUACAGAACAGAGGAAAUAAAUUAGCUAGCUAUCAAGGCUAUCAGAAGACAGUAGCCAUAAGACUUGGAACAUUAAUGCCAAGGGUCCCUCAUCAAUUACAUCUCAAAACUUAGGGGCACAUGAAAGGGACUGAAGAAGAAAUCUGAGGACAUCCGUGGCUACCUAAACAAACCUAUUGGCUGGUAUUGUUCUGCUAUUGCAGGGGAGCCCCAUCCUUGGAACUGUAGAAUUCGCAUUAAUUCUAGCUUCUAGAUUUACUUUGCAGCUUUUGAGGACUGAUUUUGCCAAGGUCCCACAAGACACGAGGAGCACACAUCUAAAUAGAAAGUCUCAUUCAGGAGUCUUAACCAUUUUUAAGCCAAAUGUCCAAUGACUAUUUUUCACUUGUCACAUAAAAAAAUAUGCUUACUGCUACCCAUAUAUAUAUCAUAUAUGUAUUCUAUAGACAUACUUAUGCUUGUCAUCACAACAAAGCAAAAUAAAAGAUUAUAUUAUUGCC
ensembl:antisense 4921534H16Rik RIKEN cDNA 4921534H16 gene